GAUGAACGCUGGCGGCGUGCCUAAUACAUGCAAGUCGAGCGAACAGACGAGGAGCUUGCUCCUCUGACGUUAGCGGCGGACGGGUGAGUAACACGUGGAUAACCAACCUAUAAGACUGGGAUAACUUCGGGAAACCGGAGCUAAUACCGGAUCAUAUAUUGAACCGCAUGGUUCAAUAGUGAAAGACGGUUUUGCUGUCACUUAUAGAUGGAUCCGCGCCGCAUUAGCUAGUUGGUAAGGUAACGGCUUACCAAGGCAACGAUGCGUAGCCGACCUGAGAGGAUGAUCGGCCACACUGGAACUGAGACACGGUCCAGACUCCUACGGGAGGCAGCAGUAGGGAAUCUUCCGCAAUGGGCGAAAGCUUGACGGAGCAACGCCGCGUGAGUGAUGAAGGUCUUCGGAUCGUAAAACUCUGUUAUUAGGGAAGAACAAAUGUGUAAGUAACUAUGCACGUCUUGACGGUACCUAAUCAGAAAGCCACGGCUAACUACGUG
rnacentral:rRNA from 1 species